AACGAACGCUGGCGGCAGGCUUAACACAUGCAAGUCGAACGCCCCGCAAGGGGAGUGGCAGACGGGUGAGUAACGCGUGGGAACAUACCCUUUUCUACGGAAUAGCUCUGGGAAACUGGAAUUAAUACCGUAUACGCCCUACGGGGGAAAGAUUUAUCGGGGAAGGAUUGGCCCGCGUUGGAUUAGCUAGCUGGUGGGGUAAAGGCCUACCAAGGCGACGAUCCAUAGCUGGUCUGAGAGGAUGAUCAGCCACAUUGGGACUGAGACACGGCCCAAACUCCUACGGGAGGCAGCAGUGGGGAAUAUUGGACAAUGGGCGCAAGCCUGAUCCAGCCAUGCCGCGUGAGUGAUGAGGGCCUUAGGGUUGUAAAGCUCUUUCACCGAUGAAGAUAAUGACGGUAGUCGGAGAAGAAGCCCCGGCUAACUUCGUGCCAGCAGCCGCCGUAACAC
rnacentral:rRNA from 1 species